GUGCAAUACGACCGUCGGUACACUGUUGUCCUUCCGAUUCCGUGGACGGGUUCUCCUUUCACUUUCUAUAAUUCGUAGCAAGUUGACCUCGGAGUUCCUGUACCAGGAGGAUCAUCAGACUCUCUAAUAGAAUACGAAUUGCUGACCUUGGCCUUGCCUUUUGGCGAGCAGCAUCUGAAGUGACGUGAACACAUGCAGCCUGCAUCGGGACUCUUGCCUUAAGGAGUGUACAAUUGACCCACAUUUGCUGGUUUGAUUUUUUUAAAAAGAAUGCAUGUUUCAAAUAAAAUUCUCUAUUGUAAAUAAAUUUUUUUCUUUGAGUCUUGG
rnacentral:lncRNA from 1 species